CGUGAUAGCUGGUUCUCCCCGAAAUGCAUUUAGGUGCAGCGUGAUGUGAGCUUGCCGGAGGUAGAGCUACUGGUUGGUUGAGCGGGACUAUCAUCUUAGCGACGUCAGCCAAACUCCGAAUGCCGGUGAGUGAGAGCGCGGCAGUGAGACUGCGGGCGAUAAGGUUCGUAGUCGAGAGGGAAACAGCCCAGAUCAUCGGCUAAGGCCCCUAAGCGUGUGCUAAGUGGAAAAGGAUGUGCAGUCGCGAAGACAACCAGGAGGUUGGCUUAGAAGCAGCCACCCUUGAAAGAGUGCGUAAUAGCUCACUGGUCAAGUGAUUCCGCGCCGAUAAUGUAGCGGGGCUUAAGUUAUCCGCCGAAGCUGUGGCAACCUGUGUGGUUGGGUAGGGGAGCGUCGUGUCAGUGGUGAAGCUGCCGGGUGACUGUGUGGUGGAGUUGAUGCGAGUGAGAAUGCAGGCAUGAGUAGCGUGUGACGGGUGGGAAUCCCGUCCGCCGAUUAUCCAAGGGUUCCAGGGUCAAGUUUGUCUGCCCUGGGUGAGUCGGGUCCUAAGGCGAGGCCGACAGGCGUAGUCGAUGGGUAACCAGUUGAUAUUCUGGUACCGGCUUGUCACCGUCCGUGUCGAGGUGUGUGAUGCUAAGCAUGUGAGCUUGUCUUGGGAGUGUUUUUGAUGCUUCUGGGGUGGGUGAGUGUGUGAACCGAUCAUGUAGUAGGCAAGCUGCGGAGGGACGCAGUGAGGUAGCUCAUCCCCGGUGAUGGUUGUCCGGGGCUAAGUGUGUGGACUGUCUGGUAGGUAAAUCCGCUGGGCGUGAAGGUUGAGGCAUGAUGGCGAGCCCACGAGUGUGGGUGAGUGAGUGAUCCUGUACUGUCAAGAAAAGCUUCGUGAGCGAGGUGGCGGGUCCGCCCGUACCCUAAACCGACACUGGUGGAUAGGUAGAGUAUACCGAGGCGAUCGAGUGAAUCGUGGUGAAGGAACUCGGCAAAAUGCCCCCGUAACUUUGGGAUAAGGGGGACCUGAGCUGUCGUGCACCCGUGCGGUGUGGUGGCGGUGAGGGGCGCAGAGUCCAGGGGGAAACGACUGUUUACCAAAAACACAGGUCCGUGCGAAGUCGUAAGACGAUGUAUACGGACUGACUCCUGCCCGGUGCUGGAAGGUUAAGGGGAACUGUGAGUGUAUGCGUAGCGGUGAACUUAAGCCCCAGUAAACGGCGGUGGUAACUAUAACCAUCCUAAGGUAGCGAAAUUCCUUGUCGGGUAAGUUCCGACCUGCACGAAUGGAGUAACGAUUUCCCUACUGUCUCCACCAUGAACUCGGUGAAAUUGCAUUACGAGUAAAGAUGCUCGUUACGCGCAGCAGGACGGAAAGACCCCGGGACCUUUACUAUAGUUUGGUAUUGGUGAUUGGGACGGUUUGUGUAGGAUAGGUGGGAGACGUUGAUGCGGCCACGCUAGUGGUGGUGGAGUCGUUGGUGAAAUACCACUCUGAUUGUUCUGGUUAUCUCACUGUGGACCGUGAUCCGGUUCAAGGACAGUGCCUGAUGGGUAGUUUG
rnacentral:rRNA from 1 species